rnacentral:tRNA from 1 species
GGGUAACUAAUUUAAACCAAAAUAGCUAAUUUCGACUUAGCCAACCAUGAGUGACAAACAUGGUUACCCC